rnacentral:lncRNA from 1 species
GGGGAAAGAAAUUGGACUUUUUUUCCUUUAAUACUGAGGACAGAAUUUUAAAAUACUGCUUGUUCUGGAAUUUUGAAAGUCAAAUCAGAAAAUCAGCUUGGAAGAGAUCGUGAUCUUCAUGUUGUGAAUGCCAAAAUGUCAUGGGAAUUAUGAAGAAUAUUAAGCUUAGGGAAGUCCACUUCUGAAUAUAUCACCAGGAUGAUAAACAUCACUUGCUGAUUGGUGGUAGCUGCUUGGGGUGCUUCUCAGUCUGUCACGUGAGUGGGAAGACUGGUGAGCCCUCAUGUUUUACUGAGGUUUUUGUUGAGCUGCAUAUAGUUUAAAAACAACAACAAAAAGUGGGAAUGAUGUAAUAAAAGUUCGUUUUUCUCUUAAAUAGAAAAGGCCAGAGACAGCAGUCCAGCACUGGUAAGGUGGUUUCAUGACAUCACUAGGGAACCCAGCCUCUGCCUUUCAUGCCAUCAUUCCUUAAGGUCAUCAUAUGAUCCUUGAUGGCUGCUGAAGCUCCAGCCAUCACAUGCAAAAUGUGGACAAAAGGCAGAAGGACAAAAGAGACGACUCCUUGUCAGUCAGCUCCCUUUAAGCAGCCUUCCCGUAAAUCACUUCAGCGGGUGUAUCAUAGGCCAAAUCUUAGAAAAGGGAAGCUGGAAAGUGUGUCUUAUUCUGGGUUGCAGAAUGCCCAGCUGAAAAUCAGGCUUCUGUCACUAAGAGUAAAGGAGAGAAUGAAGGCUGAAAUAGGCACUUAGGGGUCUUUUAUAUAGAUAUAGAUAUAUUUAUUUAUUUUUAUUUUUGGCUGCGUCGGGUCUUCCAUUGCUGCAUGCGGGCUUUCUCUAGUUGAGGAGAGGGGGCUACUCUUUGUUGCGGUGGUGGGCUUCUCGUUGUGGUGGCUUCUCUUGCUGCGGAACACGGGCUCUAGGUGUGGGCUUAGUUGCUCCAUGGCAUGUGGGAUCUUCCUGGACCAGGGAUCAAACCCGGGUCCCCUGCAUUGACAGGCAGAUUCUUAACCACUGCGCCACCAGGGAGGUGCCUGGCACUUAGGAGUCUUUGACCCACUUCCCACUCGGAUCUGAGUGGGUGCAAGCUGACCAGAAGCAACAGUUAAUACCAUUAUCUGGAGGAGGACCAAAUCAGCAGGAGAAGCAGCUGUAAUUUUUUGAGAAAUUAAAGGAUUUUAUGGAAAGUCAGUCAUAUUCCAUUGCUUAGGAAACCAUAAAGGUAUGUGUCUUUAUUCUGCCUUUAUGAGUAAAAUUAAGUUGAUAACAGGGAUCUUUCCAAGAGUUUUGAGGGGUGUGCUGAGGUUAGUACCUAAACAUUUAGCUCCAUGUCGUAGUUUAUUUGAUUCUGUUCAGUUUAAGGAAAGAACAUGGAAUAUCUUUAUUAUUCUCAUUAAAAAGCAAAGAUAAUUAAAAGAUUCAAAGUAUGAAGAAUUGAUAUAUACCUUAAAUAUCUGGAAAAUUUAUUUUGGCUUUCUCUUUUCAUGAUGUUUCCAUAGUGUAGGUAUUAGAAGCAAUCUAAGUUCAUUGACACCUUAACCUAAUUCUUCCUUACAGUUCCAAAGGAAAUGGUGUUCUCAUCUGUACCCUGGGGCAGAUCCAUAACCACCUGGGCAAAAUUUUGGAUACAGAUAUAUUUAAAUAACGUGUUUUCCUUAUUUAUUCCUGAAAAUUAUAGAAACAUUGAACAAAGGGCAAAUGUUAUAACAGAUCUUGAUUGGGGUUUUGCUUGCAAUGUAAGACAUCCUAGACACCCUAAAAAGCAGUUAAAAAUCUUUUCAGAGAGCAGAAGUCCAGGAAGACUAACUGUAUUGCAGCAGUAUCUUCUACUGAUCAGCCAUUUCUGUUUGGGUCUGCGUUUUUUGUUUUUUUUAAAUUAAUUAAUUUUUGGCUGCGUUGGUCUUCGUUGCUGCGUGCGGGCUUUCUCUAGUUGUGGCGAGCGGGGGCUACUCUUCGUUGCCCUUGUGGUGCGCAGGCUUCUCAUUGCGGUGGCUUCUCUGGUUGCGGAGCACGGGCUCUUGGCACACGGGCUUCAGUAGUUGUGGCACGUGGGCUCAGUAGUUGUGGCUCACAGGCUCUAGAGCGCAGGCUCAGCAGUUGUGGAGCACGGGCUUAGUUGCUUCGCGGCAUGUGGGAUCUAACGGGUCCCCUGCAUUGGCAGGCAGAUUCUUAACCACUGCGCCACCAGGGAAGUCCCUGGGUCUGCUUUUUAAAGAGUUUUUAAAGAAUAGUUUUACUGUCAAAAUUGAAAGUCUUUUCAUAUGUUAAUUGGUUGGUAAGUAACAUGUUAAUUCUGAUUUUGAACCGCUGUGUUCACCUUGGCUGAAUUAUUCUAUUAGAUUCUCCUUUUACUCUUAAACAGCAGUGCCCUUAAAAAUUAAAUAAGGGAGCUGUAUAUCAAAAUUUAAAUGCACAUGCCCUUUGACAAAUAAAUUUCAGUGUGUGUAGUAUUUUUAUCUAGAAAUAUACUCAUAAAACCAUGUAAAGAUAUUCAAUGGUGUUCUCUACUUAACAAAGAAAAAAUAUAGUAGGAAUAGUUAAGUAAAUUAACCCGUACAAUGGAAUACUAGUUAGCUGUUAAAAGAUAAAGUGGUAUGGAAAGAUCUCCAAGCUUUCUUAACUGAAAAAGAUAAGGUGCAAAAUUAUAUUGUGAUGCCAGAGGUGGUUUAAAAUACAUACUUAUUAAACAGAUGUUUAAUGAGUGCUACUAUGUGGCUGUUAGCGUCCUGGGAAGAUAUACACAAAAUAUUAACAAUGGUUAACUCUGGGGAGUGGGAUACUUUUCAUUUUAUAGUUUCUAUGCAACUUGUGUUUUAAUUGUACAUAUAUGAUCUGUAUAUUUAAGCUUUUAAAAUUUGUGCUGCUUGCUGUAUUGUAAUCUUUAUUCAUCUGUUCCCCCAGCAGCCUGUGAGGACUCUAGAGACAGAAACUCACUUUUGUCUUCAUC